CCAUCCUCUUGUAUAGGCGCGCACAGGGGGCCAUUCUGCCCUGCACGGAUGUACCCCAAUUUCUCUCUUUCAGGAAAAUUUGGUCAGAACUUUGCAUACACAAUUUCUUCUGGAAAAUACAUACAUUAAUCCCGGGGUUGCAGACAUCUUUCUGUCCCCGUUUGUCACCUCCCCAAGUCUACUGUGUUCUGUGGAUGAAGCCACUGGCAUGCUACAGAAGAUGCCCACGAAGUCAUAGCAGCAGGAGUAGCAAGCCAGAACCAAAGCUCACAUCAGCCUCUGGAUUUCCGGGCCAUGUUAGGGAGAUGCUGUUUACCGGCUGGGAUUGACCACUGUAUGAAGAGAGUAUGCCUCCUUCAUCAUCAUUACUUGCAAGUUAACUAAGAGGUAAAAAUCCAUCUCAAAAUGGUUAGGACUCAAGAACCAGAUGUGGCAGUACAUGCAUGUCAUCUCAAUGUGUGGGCUUGAGGCCAGCCUGUGCUGCAUAACAAAAGUCUAACAUGGAGUCCACAGUGUGUGUGUGUAUGUGUGAUUUGCUUCAUUCAUUUUAUUCCGCUAUAAGGACCAAAAUUAUUUCAUGUGCAAAAAGGAUGU